ensembl:lncRNA
CCGGGCGGCGGCGGCGGCGGCGGCAGAAGGGACGACUGAGCCCGCGCCCGGAGUUGCCGCUCCUGCCGCCUGGCGCGGGCGGCGCCUUCCCAGCAGAGCCGCGGCGCCGCGAGCGCGGGCGCCCCCUAACGGCGGCGCGGGCGAGAGGCCAGAGGGCCCGACGGCCGCAGGGACUCAGCCGGGCGCAGCGUGGACCGCACGGUCAGGCCAGCUUUGCUGCAGCCCCGAAGCCACGCCCCGAGGCCCCAGUCCCGCCCCCCGAAUCCACGAGGCCCCGCCCAGACCCCGCCCCUACGUCCCGCUUCCGCCCGCAGUUUGGGAUCAGCGUAGCUCCCGGCAGUCUUGACUGUGUUCUAGGGCCUAGGAUCCCCGGCGCUGUUUCUCCGUGUCAUCGCACUAGCGUGUAUGGGGCACCGACUAUGUGCCAGGCCUGAGGGAUACAGCGGCCACCAAGAUAGAGGGGGGUCCUAAUGAGAGGAGAAAACAGACAAGACCCAAGGAAACAGCCAGUAGUUUAUAAUAAUAACGAGUUCUGAUCAUAAAUGUUGGGAGGUGCAUGAUUAGCGGAAUUAGAUGGAGAACAAGGGGAAGGGGCCUCUGCUUCACACGCGGUGGCCUAGGAAGACCUGGACGUCAGGACUGUGGCCAGAGCGCCUCCUGGCUUUACCCUCCGUUGGGGGAGGCAAUCCUGUAAUAAGGUCACCUAUCCAUUAUGGUGGGCAGAGUAGGGAAUGGCAGCCUAGCCUGAAGGGUCAGCGUGGACAGCCAGGUGGAGAGAAGGGCAGAGCUGACUUCAGCAGAGAAAACGACCGGUGCAAAGGCUCUGAGGCCUGAAGGAGCUGGUCCUAGGUGAGGCUCUCACCGGUAUUGUCCUUAUUUCCCCGUAAAGGAAGCCAAGCAAGGCUGCAGAGAGUGGGGAAUUACCUAAAGUCUCCGCGCUAAUUGGUCUCCAGAUAUAGACUCCUGCCAAAUCAUAUUCGCUUCCUGCUAACCAGAUCUGUCUCCUUCCAGGUGGGACCAGAAUGCAUGGCUAUUGAAUUUAUAAUCAGGAAAAUACAAUUAGUUUUAUUUUUUACAAAAGAAAGACAACACCAAAAUUACCCAACACUCAGAUCUCCAGGAUUUGGUGCCACUGAAAAUCCACAACUGCCCCUGGCUUACUGGUAUUCUUGGAAGAGUCAUUCUCCCUCUCAAGGCUUUUGCUUCCUCAACUAAAAACUGAAAGGAAUUAACUUUGUCAGUGGUUUCCUCAGAACUAUUCCUAUAUAUCUAAGAUUUUAUUGCUAUUAUAAAUUAUAUUUUCAAAUUUAUGUGUAUUGUAUUGAUAGUUAGUGAAACAUGGUUGGUUUUUAUAUAAUAAUCUUGUAUUCAGCAAACUUGAUUUCUCUUUUGGUUCUAACAAGUUUAUAGACUUUCUUGAAUUUUCUGUGUUAAUAAUCAUAGAGUUUGCAAGUAAUGGUUUUUGGUAUCUUCCUGUCCAAUCUUUAUUUUCUUUCCUUUUCCUUGUUUUACUGUGCUGACUAAAACCUACAGCACAAUGUUGAAUCGCAAUUAUGAUAGUGGGCAUUUCUAUCUUGUUCUUGACUGCUUGUAACACGUCACCAUUAAUAUUGUGUUGGCUGUAGAUUUUUGAUAGAUGUGCUUUAUCAGGGUAAGGAGGCACUGUUCUGCUUUAUUAUGAAUGGAUGUUGAAUUUUAUAAAAUGUGAGAUUUUUUUUUCACCCAAAUGUUAUGAAUUACAAUCAUGGAUUUUAUUAUAUUAAACCUACCGUGCAUUCCUUGAAUAAACACAA